GCAGACAUCCUUCAAAACCUGACAGGAAGAAACAUUUCAGAUUAUCUCGUGAAGACAUAUGUGCAGAUCAUAGCCAAAAGCUUAAAGAACAAGAUCUGGGUGAAUGAGUUUAGGUAUGGCGGAUUUUCCCUGGGUGUCAGCAAUUCUCAAGCACUUCCUCCGAGUCGAGAAGUUAAUAAUGCCAUCAAGCUAGUGAA